GAACCAACAUAUACUAUGUGGAAUUGACUACUACUCCCUUUUAUUGGCUCUAUAAAUUCCCCAACAUGGAUUAGGAUUCCCUGCCUUUUUUUUUCUUAUUAACACUACAAUAUAGGAGUUACAAAACCACACCAAUCUUCUUCCAAUAAUUCAAGAAUUGAAACCACACAUGGCGUUGAGGAUUCCUCUCCAUUUACUUCUCCUAAUUCAUUUAAUAGCACCCAUAUAUGCAAAUUCAGAAGGUGAUGCUCUUUAUGCAUUGAGGAGGGCUGUGAAAGACCCUGAAAAUGUUGUGCAAAGCUGGGAUCCUACCUUGCACUUGGUUUCAUGUCACCUGUGAUGCUCAAAAUAGAGUCACUCGCCUGUAACUUAUCAUAUCACAUUCAUUUUAAUUUCAAGAAAAAGAUUUGAUUUUUUUGAGUUGAAUUUGGCAGUGAUGUUGGAAAUGCAAGGCUGUCAGGGAAGCUUGUUCCUGAGCUGGGGAAGCUGGAGAGGCUUCAAUAUCUUUUUAUGAACAACUCAAGAUUAGAAGGGCCUGAGCUGAGCUGAUGCGACAUCGGAGGGUGUUAAUUAUUUGUUGAGACUUUCAAAAUCAUACUAAUUUCUAAUUAGUAUUGCACCCGGCCUUGUUUGAUUGGAAUAUGCAAUUUGGGAUUCUUGUACAUUCUAAUCAUCUCAUCUUAUGGAUCAUUGUUUG